rnacentral:sRNA from 1 species
ACUCGCUGCAAACAGGGUAGUUGAAGAUGCUGGGGGAGGCAGCCUGGUGCUUCUUAAGCUAACGCGGAUCACGGCGCUCAGGAGCUGCUCAGGCACAACCCCGCAGAGUUCCUCCAGCGUGAGAGCCUUGGAACGGUUGGAAAGUGCCUUUUUAUUUCUCUAAACCCCUUCUUUAGUUGACCUUCGAAAAUGAUUGGCGUGAAUAGUGUCCAGAGUGCCAGCAAGGGUGGAUAAACAAAAUCAAUUGUGUGGCAGCUGUAUUUUCUGCACCACCAUUUCCAGCAGCAAUCGGCUCUCAGAAGAAGUUUAGCCGCCCACUUCUGCCUGCCACUACAACAAAACUGUCUCAGGAGGAGCAACUGAAGUCACAUGAAAGUAAGCUGAAGCAGAUCACCACCGAGCUGGCCGAGCACCGCUCAUAUCCCCCCGACAGGAAGGUCAAAGCCAAGGACGUCGAUGAGUACAAACUGAAAGACCACUAUCUGGAGUUUGAGAAAACCCGCUAUGAAAUGUAUGUCAGCAUUCUCAAGGAAGGAGGCAAAGAGCUACUGAGUAACGAUGAAAGCGAGGCUGCAGGACUGAAGAAGUCGCACUCGAGUCCUUCGCUGAACCCGGAUACUUCUCCGAUCACUGCCAAAGUCAAGCGUAACGUGUCAGAGAGGAAGGAUCACCGACCUGAAACACCAAGCAUUAAGCAAAAAGUUACUUAGAGUCCAUCUGCGGCCAGGAAGUG